GGUCAGUUUCUCUAAUUCUUCUAUUCAUUUUUCUUUUUUCUCUACAUUGUUUUGUAUUCUGAUCUGUUGUGUUUUUAUUAUUAAAGAAUCUUUGUUUAGCUUUUUUACAAUCACUAAAUGUACAUGUGAUUAUGAUGUGUCUAUUUUGUACAAAGAUCGUCAAAAUAAAUAAACGAAGGUUAUUGGAUAUGAUAGAUUUAUAUUUGAAGGGAUGAUAAUAAAGGAAUGUGCAACUGUGACAAUGAAUGCAACUUUUUUCUUUUUUGCUUUUUCUAGCUAAUUAAAACACACAAAAUAAUUUGAAUGGUUAUGUCUCUUCACUUGGAUUUGUUUCCAGCUACAAAGCCUCCAAUCAACAGUUCAGCACCCCCAUUUUCGUAUUUAUCUCACCAUAAAAAACUUGGUGUUGGAGUUUUUUGACAUGAGUGUGCACUGUAGCAUGUUAAGUUCGAUGUUCAGGACUUUAGGAGGUGGGUAUGUUUGAUGUUUGAUGUUUGUGUAUGAGUCAAGAUUAUGUGGAGGGGUAUAUGCUUGAACAAGGUACCAAAACGCCUUAAACUAGGCACCCAACCAGAUAUAAUAGAAUAUAGGACCUGAUAAUCUGUGCUUGAAGUAAUAGCAAUGAAAAUAGAUAUAGAAGAUGAUGAUUAUGAUGAUGAUGAAGAUCAUACCAGGACUCAUAGCUGUGUCAGAAUAGUUUGCUAGGCUUGUGUUAUAUUGAUUGUAAUGGGUUUGGUUUUUUUAAUGUUGGAUUCUGAUUUUCCAAAUCAUCAUUCCUCUACUGUGUUUCUUAUUUGUGCUUAGAUUUUUAUGCAUAUUUAACCACGAAUUUAGGUUCUACAACAUAGUAAAUUCAUAGGAUCAACCACAAACAGUUGCUCUAAGAUAUUAAAACCACAAACAGUUGCUUAGAUUUUCUGAUCUGAAUGUACUGCUGACUUCCUGGUUUUCCUACUGAUUUGUGCUUAUUUUUUCUAGUGAAUGUGCUACUGCUUUGAAUUUUCUACUGACCAUGAUGUUAUUUCCAAUCUGCUAUCUUUCAUAUUGUGAUGUUUCUGAAUGCACACUAAGACCAAAUCUAUAAGCAGCUUAGGUAUUAAGUGUAAGUGCACUUUAAGUAGACUAUUGAACUUAAUACUAAUGCCUUUCACACAAGUCAUCUUAAAAAAACACACACCAAAAUGUUAAUGCUUUACAACUAUUUAACUAAACUUAUUUAGCUAUGCCUUCUGCAUACAGAAGCAUAUAUCAAUAAUUAAUAACAAUAACAUGUGAAACAGUAACAUCAAAGAAGUAAUUGAGCAACUGAUUAACAUAUUCAUCCUUCAUCAUUAGUUGGGUCUACAUUACAAAGUUAAAUGCUGAUGAUGAAUGCUAGAUUCUACCAAUUACAUCCUACAUCUCAUAAAAUUCCAAAAUAAAAUGAAAAUCAUGUUUGAGGAAUCAAUAUUACUAUAACUCUUCUAUAAAGCUUAAACUUAUAUGUGAACAUAAACCUUUUAAAUAACAAGCAUAGAUCACCCUAUAUAAUCAAGACAUAUUAAACAAAAAGGCUUGAUGCUUCUAUGAAAUCCAAACAUGCAUCUCUUGUUUUGCAUUCAUACAGAUCAACAGAACCAUGAAGGAAAAGUUCUCUACAUUUAAUGAGCUAUCAGACAAAGCAAAUAUCCACAAGUUGAAGAUGGUCAUGUGAUGAAAGCCACGCUUUUUGAAGAUGAUAUUGAAGCAUACGCCGAUUUAAUCCAACAGAAUCAUGAAUACGUGAUCUCAAAUCCAACAAUCGGAAGUGUGGAUGAGAGUAUCUAACUACAUCUAGGGAAUACUAAAUGACCUUUAACAGCCGCACAACCAUCCCGCCCACAGGUUUUGCAGUUCAGAAAGUUGGACCGAGCUAUUUUUCCAUUGCAACAAUUCCCUGUAUUUCCAACGCUUGUGAUAGAUUUGAUAUUUUGGGUAUUAUCUUCUUCAUUGGAGAUAGUCGCACUGUUAAUGGAGCAUAUGACCAGAAGAAUACUGUUUGUGAAAUUAUGAUUACUGAUCAUAGGUAUUAUCUUACGGUAUACAACUUUGUGAAGCACAUUUCUUUACUUACUUUUGUUAUAUUGAUCAAUAACCUUUUCUUACUAUUAUUUAUUCAAUAAUGUAGCUCGGAUCA